rnacentral:rRNA from 1 species
AAUGAACGCUGGCGGCAUGCCUUACACAUGCAAGUCGAACGGUAACAGGUUAAGCUGACGAGUGGCGCACGGGCGAGUAAUGUAUCGGAACGUGCCCAGUCGUGUGGGAUAACUGCUCGAAAGAGCAGCUAAUACCGCAUACGACCUGAGGGUGUAUGCGGGGGAUCGCAAGACAUCGGUCGAUUGGAGCGGCCGAUAUCCGAUUAGGUAGUUGGUGAGGUAAAGGCUCACCAAGCCGACGAUCUGUAGCUGGUCUGAGAGGACGACCAGCCACACUGGGACUGAGACACGGCCCAGACUCCUACGGGAGGCAGCAGUGGGGAAUUUUGGACAAUGGGCGCAAGCCUGAUCCAGCCAUGCCGCGUGCGGGAAGAAGGCCUUCGGGUUGUAAACCGCUUUUGUCAGGGAAGAAAAGGUUCUGGCUAAUACCUGGGACUCAUGACGGUACCUGAAGAAUAAGCACCGGCUAACUACGUG